rnacentral:rRNA from 1 species
UACGUCGGGGGCGAGCGUUAUCCGGAAUUACUGGGCGUAAAGCGCACGCAGGCGGUUCGCCAAGUUUGGAGUGACAGUUGUCGGCUCAACCGACAAAGGACUUCAAAAACUGGUGAACUUGAGGACGAGAGAGGAACAUGGAACUCCAGGUGUAGUAGUGAAAUGCGUAGAUAUCUGGAAGAACACCAAUGGCGAAGGCAAUGUUCUGGCUCGUUUCUGACGCUCAGGUGCGAAAGCCAGGGGAGCGAACGGG